UGGCUCAGCAUGAACGCUAGCGGCAGGCUUAACACAUGCAAGUCGAGGGGCAGCGGGGAGGAAGCUUGCUUUCUCCGCCGGCGACCGGCGCACGGGUGAGUAACACGUAUGCAACCUGCCCCUGUCAGGGGGACAACCCGCCGAAAGGCGGGCUAAACCCGCGUACAUGCCACCGGGGCAUCCCGGAGGCAGGAAAGGCUUCGGCCGGACAGGGAUGGGCAUGCGGCGCAUUAGGCAGUAGGCGGGGUAACGGCCCACCUAACCGACGAUGCGUAGGGGUUCUGAGAGGAAGGUCCCCCACACUGGUACUGAGACACGGACCAGACUCCUACGGGAGGCAGCAGUGAGGAAUAUUGGUCAAUGGUCGGGAGACUGAACCAGCCAAGCCGCGUGAGGGAGGAAGGUACAGAGUAUCGUAAACCUCUUUUGUCAGGGAACAAAGACUGGGACGCGUCCCCGGAUGGGUGUACCUGAAGAAAAAGCAUCGGCUAACUCCGUGCCAGCAGCCGCGGUAAUACGGAGGAUGCGAGCGUUAUCCGGAUUUAUUGGGUUUAAAGGGUGCGCAGGCGGUCUGUUAAGUCAGCGGUCAAAGCCCGGGGCUCAACCCCGGCCCGCCGUUGAAACUGGCAGUCUCGAGUUGGAGAGAAGUAUGCGGAAUGCGCGGUGUAGCGGUGAAAUGCAUAGAUAUCGCGCAGAACUCCGAUUGCGAAGGCAGCAUGCCGGCUCCACACUGACGCUGAGGCACGAAAGCGUGGGUAUCGAACAGGAUUAGAUACCCUGGUAGUCCACGCAGUAAACGAUGAAUGCUGGCUGUCCGGGGGGACUGACCCCUGGGUGGCGAAGCGAAAGCGAUAAGCAUUCCACCUGGGGAGUACGCCGGCAACGGUGAAACUCAAAGGAAUUGACGGGGGCCCGCACAAGCGGAGGAACAUGUGGUUUAAUUCGAUGAUACGCGAGGAACCUUACCCGGGCUCAAACGGGGAGUGGCGCAGGCAGAGACGCCUGUUUCCCACGGGACACUCCCCGAGGUGCUGCAUGGUUGUCGUCAGCUCGUGCCGUGAGGUGUCGGCUUAAGUGCCAUAACGAGCGCAACCCCCGCGUGCAGUUGCUAACAGUCAACGCUGAGGACUCUGCACGGACUGCCGGCGCAAGCCGCGAGGAAGGCGGGGAUGACGUCAAAUCAGCACGGCCCUUACGUCCGGGGCGACACACGUGUUACAAUGGGUGGUACAGCGGGAAGCCAGGCGGCGACGCCGAGCGGAACCCGAAAUCCACUCUCAGUUCGGAUCGGAGUCUGCAACCCGACUCCGUGAAGCUGGAUUCGCUAGUAAUCGCGCAUCAGCCAUGGCGCGGUGAAUACGUUCCCGGGCCUUGUACACACCGCCCGUCAAGCCAUGGGAGCCGAGGGCGCUUGAAGUGCGUCGCCGCGAGGCGCGCCCUAGAGCGAAAUCGGUGACUGGGGCUAAGUCGUAACAAGG
rnacentral:rRNA from 1 species